GAAGACCACUGCUGUAAAGCGUUCCUAUUUUUCUGUAUAUGAGGGUCAUUUUUCGCGCCAUGAUCUGUAGUUUUUACCACUUUUGCGUAUAUGGGGCUUUUCGUUCACUUUUUUAUAUAUUUUUUUUCCUGGGAUGGGAUGUGACCACAAAUCAGCAAUUUUGGACUUUAGCCAUUAUUGUACAGGAUCAUUUACAUUAUAUUUUAAUAGUUCGGAUAUUUACGCAUGUGGCGAUACUAAAUAUGUUUUCUGUUUAUUUAUGUUUACAUUAUUUUAUUUAGAAAAGGGGAGUGAUUAAAACGUUUAUCAGGGAAGGGGUUUAUUCACAUAAAAAAAAAAAAUAUUUUUAAAUUUUUUUGUCUCCAUAUGGAACUGCUUUGGACUGCGUGUACUGAACAAAACUGGGCCAUAGAAUAGCAUUGGUCAGUGUUAUUGGUGCAGGCUGCUGAGGAUGUCCACAGUACAGGAGCACCAAUCAGACAGACGGAAGACGGCCAAUCAGAAAGCAGCACUACUCAAAUAGAACUCCCGUGAGGUCACACAUGUGAUGUCAUAACCAUUGUCAUUGGUGAGGGGCCUAAACUGUAGGAACCUAGCAAUACACAUUCAUACCCGCCUGUGACUGGUAAGUAUCACAUCUUUUUGUCCAGUUCCAUGUGCAUUUCUAUAAUAAUCAUGUAACUAAUCUCUCUUUUCUUUUCCUAUCUUAGAUGCACACCUUCCAGGCUGUGGGGCAGCACAUACACUGACACUUUGCCCAAAUUCUAGAGGUAACCUCCUUUAGUAUGCCCAGAGGAAGGGCAGUACAGUAGCCAUGGAUUCCCUACAGGUUUCCUCCCCUCUGGAGGUUUUUCCUGUCCUGAGUUAGUUACUGUCCGCUCUUUGUGAGUGAUGGAGGUUACAUAAAAUCCCUACACAAACAUUUUUGUAAAUAAUAAAUAAAGUUCCCUUUGUUUAAACUGUU